rnacentral:rRNA from 1 species
GAUGAACGCUGGCGGCGCGCCUAACACAUGCAAGUCGAACGAUUAAAGCACCUUCGGGUGUGUAUAAAGUGGCGAACGGCUGAGUAACACGUGGGCAACCUGCCCCUCUCAUUGGGAUAGCCACGGGAAACCGUGGAUAAUACCGAAUACUUCGGGACUUCCGCAUGGAAGACUCGAGAAAGCUCCGGCGGAGAGGGAUGGGCCCGCGGCCUGUUAGCUUGUUGGUGGGGUAAUGGCCUACCAAGGCAAUGAUGGGUAGCUGGGUUGAGAGACCGACCAGCCAGAUUGGGACUGAGACACGGCCCAGACUCCUACGGGAGGCAGCAGUGGGGAAUCUUGCACAAUGGGCGAAAGCCUGAUGCAGCGACGCCGCGUGCGGGAUGAAGGCCUUCGGGUUGUAAACCGCUUUCAGCAGGGGCGAGGCGAAAGUGACGGUACCUGCAGAAGAAGCCCCGGCUAACUACGUG